rnacentral:lncRNA from 1 species
AAGACAAGGUUGGAAAAAGUUAGACUCACAAUACAAUGGACCACUUCUAUACAGCCAUUAUUUCAACAAAAGACACAAAAUUUUCGAUGAAGCUGUCAAAAUGCCUGUCAUACAGUAUGUAACAUCUGGUAUGAUCGACGACGUGGAAGAAUAUUUAUACAACAACGGGCCGCUAAAUGUUGAAGAUUGUGAUGAAGUGGAGAAAGACGAAGGAGCAAAUGAUAAUCGCCAGGAUCAACAACAUGU